rnacentral:rRNA from 1 species
UACGUAGGGUGCGAGCGUUAAUCGGAAUUACUGGGCGUAAAGGGUGCGCAGGCGGCGUCGCAAGUCAGGCGUGAAAUCCCCGGGCUUAACCUGGGAAUGGCACUUGAAACUACGAUGCUGGAGUAUGGCAGAGGGAGGUGGAAUUCCACGUGUAGCAGUGAAAUGCGUAGAGAUGUGGAGGAAUACCGAUGGCGAAGGCAGCCCCCUGGGAUAACACUGACGCUCAUGCACGAAAGCGUGGGGAGCAAACAGG